GACAGAGGUCCCGAGCGUUAGGCGGAAUCACUGGGCUUAAAGCGUGUGUAGGCGGAUCGGUAAGUACCUUGUGAAAUCCCACAGCUUAACUGUGGAACUGCUUGGUAUACUGCCAGUCUUGAGCCACUUAGGGGCUACCGGAACAAAUGGUGGAGCGGUGAAAUGCGUAGAUAUCAUUUGGAACGCCAAUGGUGAAAACAGGUAGCUGGGAGUGUGCUGACGCUGAGACACGAAAGCCAGGGGAGCAAACGGG
rnacentral:rRNA from 1 species